CAGUCGCCGCGGUAAUACGUAGGUGGCAAGCGUUGUCCGGAAUUAUUGGGCGUAAAGGGCUCGCAGGCGGUUUCUUAAGUCUGAUGUGAAAGCCCCCGGCUCAACCGGGGAGGGUCAUUGGAAACUGGGAAACUUGAGUGCAGAAGAGGAGAGUGGAAUUCCACGUGUAGCGGUGAAAUGCGUAGAGAUGUGGAGGAACACCAGUGGCGAAGGCGACUUUCUGGACUGCAACUGACACUGAGGCACGAAAGCGUGGGGAGCAAACAGGAUUAGAUACCCCGGUAGUCCCUGUCUCUUAUAC
rnacentral:rRNA from 1 species